rnacentral:rRNA from 1 species
GAUGAACGCUGGCGGCGUGCCUAAUUCAUGCAAGUCGAGCGAACAGACGAGGAGCUUGCUCCUCUGACGUUAGCGGCGGACGGGUGAGUAACACGUGGAUAACCUACCUAUAAGACUGGGAUAACUUCGGGAAACCGGAGCUAAUACCGGAUAAUAUAUUGAACCGCAUGGUUCAAUAGUGAAAGACGGUUUUGCUGUCACUUAUAGAUGGAUCCGCGCCGCAUUAGCUAGUUGGUAAGGUAACGGCUUACCAAGGCAACGAUGCGUAGCCGACCUGAGAGGGUGAACGGCCACACUGGAACUGAGACACGGUCCAGACUCCUACGGGAGGCAGCAGUAGGGAAUCUUCCGCAAUGGGCGAAAGCCUGACGGAGCAACGCCGCGUGAGUGAUGAAGGUCUUCGGAUCGUAAAACUCUGUUAUUAGGGAAGAACAAAUGUGUAAGUAACUAUGCACGUCUUGACGGUACCUAAUCAGAAAGCCACGGCUAACUACGUG